UUUUGUCUUUUCAUGUGCGUUUUAAAAGGUAUUUUGAGCCUCCGUCCUUCCGGUAGCAGGUUUUCGAAGGACCCCUCAUUUCCUAAAUAAAGUCUGCUGCCCCUGGUCUCCUCCCCUAACCACGCCCCCGUCUAUCAAUAUCUUAGAGGUGCUCCCUGGGGCUGGGAAGAGGUAGACGUAUGUGCAGAGACCCCGGGCUCUUUUUAAAAAGUGUCGGCAGUAGCAACGAAGAGCAGUUAACAGGUUUGUUGAAGCUUUUUUUUUCUUCUCUCUUUUGUGGCUCUGACUCUUAACCAGUCAUUGCGCCUUAAUUACGCGUCUGCUGGAGAAGUAGAACUCGGGGCUGGCUACAGAUGGACCAAAAUUCCCUUUAGAAUUAGGUGAACACUCCCAGCAAAGAUUUCCUUUUCCUUUCAUCACCAGCUCCAAGCAAUUGGACAUAUACUUGGCAAAGGCUGGAACUGUGAACACAUGGGGUAUGUGGCUGUCCAACUUUCUCGCCUCUAGGGCAUCUCGGGGAGAGAGAAACCCUGCCAGACAGCCAGAUUCUCGCUGGUGCUCUCCAAGUUUUAAGAUGAUAAAAUUACACUGAAGUGCAGAUGAGAUAGUAUCAUUGUUUAUCCAAAGUCCAAGUGCAAACAGUGACUGACUAGCAAAGUUUCUUGGAAUUAGGAAAGGAGGUUUGAAGUAGUGCUUGAGCUUGCUUUUUAUGUUAAACCUAUCAAAGGAGCCCGUUUAGAAAUGAUAAAAGUGACUGCUCAUUUGUUGUAUUAUUGUCCCAAGGUGACAAGACACAGGAUAUUUGUUCAAAUUUAAAACAUAGGCAUUUUCUGUGUGUUUUUUUUUUUUUCUUCUAUUUUCUGUUUUUCCUUAAGAGCAAGCAAACUAAGGUGAAAUGCUCAGUAAAACGUCCAACUUGGGGCCAUUGGAGUCAGCUGUGCUGUAGGCUGAUGAACGUUGCAGCAUUCAUUUUCUAUAGCAGAGCUCUUUACAAUUGGCCACUUCUGAAUUAGAACCAGGUCAAGAUCUUGGAAGAUGAUGGAAAGCAUGUUUUCUCACGUGUGGUCUAUAGCUCAUCUGCAUCAUUACUUUGCUUGUUAGGUAAAAACGGCUGAUGCCUGAACUCCAUCCCAGAUUUAGCAAAUGUGAAUCUCUGGGGCCAGGACUGGGGAAUCUCUCUCAAUCCAGGCACUCUGGUGAUUAUUACGCUCACUGAAGUUUGAGGCUGGGCUUGGCUCUGUAUUCCCCAGGCAUUGCAUAAUAAUUAGAAAUGUGGAAAAUUGUAGAUAAGAGUACCAAUAUUUCUGUGAGUAUUGGAGAAAGUUAAUUUUCUUGGAUGAUUUGGGCUAAAUAUGGGUCUCUUUUGAGUCUUUGUGUCUUGCCUCCCUCUUUGCCAGACACAAGCUUCCUGCUGAGGAUGGAAAUGGAGACCACACCCUGUCCUCACCAGUGUCCCGGGUAACCUUGGAGACAAGUGGGGAGAAGAAAGUGACCCCCCCCACUUUCUUCUGAAUUGCCAGGGGCCUUACAGCAUCUCAUAAAGCAUUAUAAAUCUCCGUCCCUGUACUCUCAAAGUGAAAGUCCUAAACAAAAACUUCAUCAGAGCCAUCCCUUUUAGUCAUAUGGACUUUUAACAUUUUUUUUCGUGUUACGUGCUUCAAUGAUUAUCAUACUUUUUUUCUCUUUAGGGCCACAUCCACCACAUAUGGAGGUUCCCAGGCUAGGGGUUGAAUCAGAGCUAUAGCUGCCAGCCUACACCACAGCCACAGCAACACCAGAUAUUAGCCCAGUCUGUGACCUACAUACACCACAGCUCAUGGCAACGUCAGAUCCUUAACCUACUGAGCGAGACCAGGAGUCGAACCCGGGUCCUUAUGGAUCCUAGUCAGGUUUGUUGUCACUGAGCCAUGAUGGGAACUCCCUCUUUUACUGUACUUCAAACAUUUUUAUGGUAAGAGUUCCCACUGUGGUGCAAUGGGAUCAGCAGCGUUUUAGGAGCACUGGGACGCAGGUUUGAUCCCUGGCCUGGCACGGUCGGUUAAAGAUCUGGCUUUGCCACAGCUCUGUGGCGUACGUUGCACCUGUGGCUGGGAUCCAAUCCCUGGCUCAGGAACUCCAUAUGCUGUGGGACAAAAAAAAAAAAAAAAAAAACUAUUAUGGUAGUAAAAUCACAUAUAAAAAUUUGGAAAAUGAAAUUGAAGGGAAAAACUGUCCACCGUCCACCACACAAACCAUUUCAGUGUUAACAUUUUGAUAUAUUUUUUAAAAAGGUGUGGGAUUUUUCCCCCUCUCUUUAAAUAGUUUAUAUUACAGUAUCUACCAAAUUAUACUAGAUUCUUCUAAAACAUUAUUUUAAAAAAAAAGAUCUUCAGGCAAAACAUUAUGCAUGUAGAGUUAUUUCUUUAGGAUUUUCAGAUGAGGAAUUACUUGGUCAAAAGUAACAGUUGUUUUCUAAAAUAUUAAUGCAGUUUCACUCUGGCCAUAAUAAGUGAUCCCUAAGCUUUAUUCUUAAAACACUUAAAAAAAAUCAGUCACUAAAAUAAUUAGUCAUGAAGAGUUCCUGUCGUGACUCAGCAGUUAACGAACCCAACUAAUAUCCACAAGGACGCAGGUUCAAUCCCUGGCCUCGCUCAGUGGGUUAAGGAUCCAGCGGUACCAUGAGCUGUGGUGUAGGUCUCAGAUGUGGCUUGGAUCUGGCAUUUCUGUGGCUGUGGAGUAGGCCAGCAGCUACAGCUCCGAUUCGACCCACAUGCCACAGAUAUGGCCCUAAAAAGACCAAAACAAAAACAAAAACAAAAAACAAAAAACAACUCAGCAAAAAAGCAAAACAAUAAAAUAGUCAUGAGUAUUAGUGAUAUACGUAUAUAUACAUGUGUGUAUAUAUACAUAAACAAUUCACUGAUUACCAAACUUCAGUGACAACUCCAUGAAUCAGUUCAUGUAGACUUGUUAGUGGAAGAAUCCUGCAGCAGAGGUUUUUGUUGCUUUGAAUAGAAUAUAUGCACUCUUACAGCUUCUCAUUGGGUGCCCCCAGGUAACAGGCACUGCGCAAGAGCAUAAGAUACACGUGUUCCCUCUUUACACCCCUAGAAUCCAUAGACUAGGUGUGUGCUGGUAGAGAGAGAAAAACAAAUAUGAAAUAAUAUGGUGAGUGCUGGGAAGUUGCUGUUGUGGCACAGUGGAAAUGAAUCCGACUAGGAACUAUGGGGACACAGGUUCCAUCCCUGGCCUAGCUCACUGGGUUAAGGACCUGGUGUUGCCAUGCGCUGUGGUGUAGGUUGUAGGCAUGGCUCGUAUUGGCUGUGGCUGCGGCUGUGGUGUAGGCCGGCAGCUGUAGCUCCGAUUGGACCCCUAGCCUGGGAAUCUCCAUAUACAGGGGGUUCGGCCCUAAAAAAAAAAAAA
rnacentral:lncRNA from 1 species